rnacentral:lncRNA from 1 species
CAGAGAUCCAACAGAGAGCAGAAGGAACUGAGGUGAUGAAAGAAGCUGGGAAGAAGUGGGAAGCCAAUGUCGUAGAAGGCUCGGAAGACAAGAAACUGCAUGUUCAAAGCCAUCAAAUGGUUCCGGGGAGCUGCUGAGACCCAAGAGCCAAUGAUCAAGAUCUCCCAGAUGCAGGGGUUGUAAUGCCUUCACUUUUAGGAGCUAAGUGUCUACACACAAGACGCCUUCGGAUGCUACAGAGAUAGGGUUGAUAGUUACUGAGUACAGGGCCACUGAGAGUCAAGGUCCAGAAUAGAACCAUCAGCACUGGACAGAGCACCCGGAACAGCAAAUCUCUCUGCAUCAUAGUGUCCAGUUCAAGGACCCAGAGCCACGAGCGUCUUCGGAUCCAUUACUCCAGCCCAUGUAUGGAACCUUAGCACUCAAGAGCCCAGAGCCUCAGACGAUGACUCAGCCAACCUUUGCCUCUUUGCAGUUCUCAUCAUGGUAGUGCAAACGAUUCCCCAGCCAGAUGAUUGAUGGGUCAAACUGGAAUCCUGGGAUGGAGGCGUGGCUCAGCAGCUCAAAACAACGCUGCAGCAGAGUAUUA